UAUAAUUAUAUAUAUAUAUAUAUAUAUAUAUAUAUAUAUAUAUAUAUAUAUAUAUAUAUAUAUAUAUAUAUAUAAUAUUUUUUUUUUAAAAUUUUUUAAAAAAAAUAAUUUUUAAAAAAAUUAUAAUAUUAGUAUAAAAAAAAAAAUAUUAAAAAUUUAUUAAAAAGUAAUGUAAAUGAAAUUAUUAAUUAAAAAUAAAAAUUUUAAAUAAAAAAUUAAUUUUUUUUACCUUUUGUAUCAGGGUUUAUUAAAAAUAAUUUAAAUUUAAUUAAUCUCGAUUUUAUAAGAUUUAAUUAAAUAAUUUAGUUAAUGUAAAAAAAUUAUUAAAAAUAUUUAAUUGGAAAUGAAAUUUUAUUCGUUUAUAAAGGUAUCUAGUUUUUUAAUAUAUAAAUUUAAUUUAGAUAAAUUAUUAUAAUUUUUUUAUUUAUUAUUUAAAAAUUAAAAUUUAAUUUAUUAAUAAUUUUAAGGUUAAUCUUAAAAUUAAUUUUAUAAUUAAUAAAAUAUAAAUAAAUUUAAUAUAAAUAAAAAUUUUAAUUUAUAAAAAAAGUGUUAUAAUUUAUUUAAAUUUUUAAAUGUAAAUAUUUUUUUUUAUUUAAAUAUUUAUUAAAAUAUUUUUUUUAAUUAAUUUAAAAAAUAAAUAAUGAUAAAAUUAGUAUAAGAUUAAAUUAGUUAAAAAAAAUAAUUUUAAUUUAAAUUAAAUUUUAAUAAUUAGGCAAAUUAGUUUUAAUUAAUAAAUUGUUCAACUGUUUAUCAAAAACUUAGUUUUUUGAAAAUAAUAAAAAAUUCAACCUGCUCAAUGAUAAUAUUUAAAUAGCUGCAGUAUUUUGACUGUACAAAGGUAGCAUAAUCAAUUGUUUUUUAAUUAAAAGCUGGAAUGAAUGGUUAAAUGAAAUAAAAUCUUUUUUUGAUUUAAAAUUAAAAUUUUUUUAUUAGUAAAAAAACUAAUAUAAUUUUAUAAGACGAGAAGACCCUAUAGAGUUUAAUAUUAAUUUAUAAAAAUUAAUUUAAUUUAAUAUAAUUUAUAUAAAUUAUUAUUUGGUUGGGGUGAUUAUUAAAAUUUAAAAAACUUUAAUUUAUUUAAUACAAAAAUGAUUGAAAUUUUUGAUUUUUAAUUUAAAAUUAAAAGAAUAAAUUACCUUAGGGAUAACAGUGUAAUUUUUUUUGAUAGUUCUUAUUGAUAAAAAAGUUUGCAACCUCGAUGUUGAAUUAAGAUGAAAUUUAAAAGUAGAAAUUUAAAAUUUUUGGUCUGUUCGACCAUUAAAAUCUUACAUGAUUUGAGUUCAGAUCGGCGUGAGCCAGAUCAGUUUCUAUCUUUAAAUUAAAUAAAUUUUAUUGUACGAAAGGACUUAAAAAUUUAAAUAAUUUAUAAAUUUUAAUAUUGAAUAAAAAUAA
rnacentral:rRNA from 1 species